AACUUCUUGUGUUCAGGGGUCCACUUCCUGUCAAAAACAUUCUUGGCAGAUCAGUAUUUCGCUAUUGGCCUCCCUCCAAAGUAUCUGACACCACAUAUGAACCACAAGUAGCAGACAAUGCUGUUGCAAUUUCUUGACACAUUGCCCUCUGUUUGCUGGGGGGAGGACCUCAGAAGAUUUUCUUCUUCUCUUUAUCAAGAUAUUGAAUUUGUUUACACCACUCUCUUGGUUCGUUGUUGGGCACGUUGAACGUGCUUUGGAUGGAUAUCUUAUCCGUCAGUCUGUGAAUCUGUAUGACUUUUAAACUUACGUUUGACA
rnacentral:lncRNA from 1 species